AGUGUCCGCAGUCUCCCAAGUGUUGCAGGACCUCCUCCACUGUCUGAAUAUGCUUGAACUACCCUUGCCGCUUCAUGUAGUUCAGGACUUGGCAGAUGCUUGGCCUCCCAUGCAUGAAAUGUGCUGAAAUAAAAUGUUUGUGCAGAUGUAUAAUUAGACAGCAAAAAACAGACUUCUAGAAAAUGAAGCCAAAAAUCAUUGAAUAAUUCUUACAAAUGUUGUAUAAUGCAUCCAGAUUUGUCUGCUGCCUCCUCCAUCUGUCGUAACAAUACUUUCCAAGGACUUUUGGCCAGUUGUCAAGUCCCCAUCUUUUUCAUCUGCCUUAGGCUACUCGUCUGUCUUUGCAGUCAUAGAAUCCAGCACUUCUCUGUCCCUGGAAAGCAAAGUCAGAUCUGGUUUCAGAAGAAUUGUAAGAACACAUCAAGAAGGACAAAUUCUACUUAUACCACAGUCACUGACUAUCCUGAAUCCAUGUGCAAAUCUAACCUUGAGGUUGAAGUUCGGUCCAUGUCCUGCUCAUUUGCCAUACAAACAUCAAACCUGUAGGGGAAAGAAAAUGUCAACGUGUUUAAAUUGGUUUUACCAAGAAUAAGUCAACAGUAAUUCUAUCAGAUGUAGGCGCUGUAAAAUAAGCAGACCCUCCAAGGACACUCAUCCUGUCCUCUUCCAAGCUGAUCCUUGCAUUGGCACAAACCAAUGAUUUUGUUUUAAAUUAUGUGCCAGUCUAAAUCUCAGCACUCCUUUUGGAUUGGUGGCCGCCCUGUAAAGACACUCAGAAAUUUCAAUGCACACAUUUAUAAUCUGCUCGUGCACACACAUCCAAUACCUUUUUAUAACCUAUAGGGAAUGAGGUAACAAAACUCACUUAACUGAUUUGCUUAAAUAUUUCAGUGACAUUAAAAGUUUGCCAGCAUUUCCGGAUCAGAAAAUCGUACCUCCAUAUUUUAUUCCAGAUUUUGUGUAUAUUCUCUCCAGGUACUGUCUGAAUCCCAGGAGCAAUGGGGCAUCAGCUGACUGCUUUUUGUUUAACCCAGCCUUCUCUAUAUAGAUCAUAAUUGUUACUGUAGCCAGUAUGAUCCAUGAACAUCUACUAAGGCCUUGUACCUUGACCCAAGAAGUGGAUGCUCUUCAUCAUUUCUUCAUAGUCCUCCUUUUCAUCCUGAAUUGGGUUCUUAGCUGCUUGCUUUGUGAUACAGUUUCAGUAAAGGAAGAGUGAGAUUCCAUUGUAUCAUUGAAAUAAAACCAUGUAUAAAAAAUCUUGAAAAAACAGUAUGGAGUGCCAACCUAUUAUGAUAGCUUGUCACAAAAUAAACAUCGCUUGGCAGGCCAAAGUGUAAGCAAUACUGGCAGGCCAACUGCCUUCUGUCUUUUUUUUUUCUAGGCAAAAAUCCUCUGUAGCAAUUAAGCAAUUUUUCUAUUCCUAUAGGAGCUGAAGAAAAAACAGAAAAGGUGACGUCAAUUAUGCAACACAUAACCACAAGCAGCACUUGUAUUGCAAAGUCAACCACAAGUCAAGGAUCCCUAAACCCAAACCAAAUCUUUCUCUCUCCGCAACCAAAUCAGGUUUCCCUGGUUUGUCCUUGUUGCUUCAAAGUGGACAAAAACUUGACAACUCAUCUAUGGAGGAAAUGUAGGAGAUUUAGCUCAUUGGAAGAGGUCAAAGUUGCACAGACUGCCUGGUGUCGCUUGUGGAACAUUGCUGAGACCUGACUGAUUUAGAUCUAAUGUGAUCUUUAGAGUACCACAAACCAGAAGACUACAAGUAACACACCAACCGGAGUAAGUAAUAUUUCCACAAUCGUCAACAUAGUGAGGGACAGAUCAAGCAGUGAAAUGUGAACUUGCCAAGGACAUCUGAGUUUCUGAAGAAAAUAAGAGCUUCAUUGCGUUGAAGGACAUCUAAGUCAUCAGUUAAACUGCAA